UCUCGAUUGGUCUAGUGGUAAGGAUACCUGCUUGUCAAGAGACAAUGCGCAGGUGGCCGGGGUUCGAUUCCCCGAUCGAGAG
rnacentral:tRNA from 1 species